rnacentral:snRNA from 1 species
AUAUUUACCUGGCAGGGGAGAUCCCAUGAUCACGAAGGUGGUUUCCCAGAGCAAGGCUUAUCCAUUGCACUCCGGACAUGCUGACCCCUGUGAUUUCCCCAAAUAUGGGAAACUCGACUGCAUAAUUUGUGGUCGUGGGGGACUGCUUUCAUGCUCUCCCCUG